GAUGAAGAACGCAGCGAAAUGCGAUACGUAGUGUGAAUUGCAGAAUUCAGUGAAUCAUCGAAUCUUUGAACGCACAUUGCACCUCUCGGUAUUCCGGGAGGUAUGCCUGUUCGAGCGUCAUUUGUACCCUCAAGCUCUGCUUGGUGUUGGGUGUUUGUUCCGCCUCUGUGUGUGAACUCGCCUCAAAACAAUUGGCAGCCGGCGUACUUGUUUCGGAGCGCAGCACAUUUUGCGAUCCAGAUCAACGUACAGCGGCAUCCAAGAAGCCUUAUUUAACGCUCUUGACCUCGGAUCAGGUAGGGAUACCCGCUGAACUUAAGCAUAUCUAAGCGGAGGA
rnacentral:misc_RNA from 1 species